rnacentral:misc_RNA from 1 species
GCUCUAUUUAGGAGUGGCAUUGUACAUUUUAACUUCAACUCCUCAUUUAUAGUUUCAAAGAAUAUCAUCCAUCUUAAAUAAGAGAAAAAUAGUUCAAAAUCAAAACAGCACAAUCUACAUCAAAACAGAAAGGAAGAGAUGCAACAUAAAACCAAGAAAUGGCAUACAGAAAGUAACUGAAUCCAGGAAAUUUUAAAAAUGUUUACCCUCAGUUCAAAAGAAAACAAUCCAACAAGGCAACACCACAAUCCUCAUAAACGAGCAACAUUACAUUCAGCAUCAUCUCCAUAUGCACAAGGGAAGAAAUAAACAAUGCGCACAUUUCAGAGAUUGAAAAAUCUCUUUUCAAUUGACACAUCUACGGCAGCAGCCCUCAGUGCAGUGCACCAGCAACAUAAAUUAAUUUGUGACAAGUGAUCUCUCAGUCAAGCGGCACCUCAACUUCACCAUCAGUAAUCUCUUGUUGCAAAUCCUUGGGGUUCUUCCCAUCGACCGUACAUCCAACCGAGACGCAAGUCCCCAAAAUCUCCUUGACGGUUCCACUUAGAUCCUUCGCCAUCGAUCUUGGCCUCAUAACCUUGGCGAUCUCAAUCACAUCAUCAAGCGAGAUGUUCCCGCUGUGCUUGAUAUUCUUAGUCUUCUUCCUGUCUCUCUCUGGCUCCUUAAGUGCCUUGAUGACUAGAGCAGCCGCCGAUGGAACAACCGUCACCUUAGCCUGACGGUUCUGAACCGUAAGCUUGACAGUGACGCGAAGACCCUUCCAGUCCUUGGCGGUCUCCUUAGCGAUGUCUUCACCGAUCUUUUUAGGGGAGAGACCAAGCGGACCAAUUUUCGGUGCGAGUGAACUAGCCGCACCGACUUCUCCACCGGUGACUCGGACGAAGACAUCGACCACCUGGGAAGGGUCAAAUUUUGGCGGCAUUUCUAGUGCUCACAGAAUGAGACAACCCUAGGGUUUCAAGAAACCAUUAAAGGAUGAUAUGGAGUAAUAUAUUACAAUCCCAGUGCUGAGGGUUUUGCGGAAUGGAGAAUUUCAUGACAUAUUUGCC